UACGUAGGGGUGCAAGCGUUGUCCGGAAUUAUUGGGCGUAAAGAGCUCGUAGGCGGCUCGUUGCGUCGGCUGUGAAAACCCGCAGCUCAACUGUGGGCUUGCAGCCGAUACGGGCGGGCUGGAGUUCGGUAGGGGAGACUGGAAUUCCUGGUGUAGCGGUGAAAUGCGCAGAUAUCAGGAGGAACACCGGUGGCGAAGGCGGGUCUCUGGGCCGAUACUGACGCUGAGGAGCGAAAGCGUGGGGAGCGAACAGG
rnacentral:rRNA from 1 species